UACUUGCCAUGGUACCAAUCCCAAGUC
rnacentral:piRNA from 1 species